GGAUUGUGGCUCAGUGGUAGAGCGCUAGCUUAGCACAAACAGGACCUGGGUUCGAUCCUCAGCACCA
rnacentral:tRNA from 1 species